rnacentral:rRNA from 1 species
CCCGCCCUACACGCUACCUGCAUUGCGGUCCACCGGCAACAGGUCUUCGGAUGCUGACGAGUGGCGAACGGGUAAGUAAUGUAUCGGAACGUGCCCCGUAGUGGGGGAUAACUACUCCAAAGAGUGGCUAAUACCGCAUGAGAACUGAAGUUGAAAGCGGGGGACCUUCGGGCCUCGCGCUACUGGAGCGGCCGAUAUCAGAUUAAGUAGUUGGUGGGGUAAAGGCCUGCCAAGCCGACGAUCUGUAGCUGGUCUGACAGGACGACCAGCCACACUGGGACUGACACACGGCCCAGACUCCUACGGGAGGCAGCAGUGGGGAAUUUUGGACAAUGGACGCAAGUCUGAUCCAACAAUGCCGCGUGCAGGACGAAGGCCUUCGGGUUGUAAACUGCUUUUGUACAGAACGAAAAGGCUCUGGUUAAUACCUGGGGCUCAUGACGGUACUGUAAGAAUAAGCACCGGCUAACUACGUGCCAGCAGCCGCCGUAAUACGUAGGGUGCGAGCGUUAAUCGGAAUUACUGGGCGUAAAGCGUGCGCACGCGGUUUUGUAAGACCGAUGUAAAAUCCCCGGGCUCAACCUGGGAACUGCAUUGGUGACUGCCAGGCUGGAGUGCGGCAGAGGGAGAUGGAAUUCCUCCUGUGUCAAUGAAAUGCGUACAUAUGCAGAGGAACACCUAUGGCUAGCGCAAUCCCCUGGGCCUGCUCUGACUCUCAUGCACGAAAGCAUGCGGAGCAAACAAGAUUAGAUACCCUGGUAGUCCACGCCCUAAACGAUGUCAACUGGUUGUUGGGUAUUUGCUUACUCAGUAACGAAGCUAACGCGUGAAGUUGACCGCCUGGCGAGUACGGCCGCAACGUUGAGACUCAAAGGAAUUGACGGGACCGCGCACCAGCCGUGGAUGAUGUGGUUUAAUUCUAUGCAACGCCAAAAACCAUACCCACCUUUGACAUGGCAGAAAUUCCGAACAGGAUUUAGAAGUGCUCGAACGAGAAACCUGCACACAGGUGCUGCCUGGCUGGUCGUCAGCUCAUUUCUUGAGAUGUUUGGUUUAAUUCCCUCAACCAACGCAACCCAUUGCCCGUACUUGCUUACGAAAGGGGCAUUCAAAUGGGAACUGCCAGUGAACCAAACAAAAGAAGAUGAGGAAGGAAAGGUUCAAGUACCACAUUGCCCUUUUCAUAGGUUGGGGGCUUAC